rnacentral:tRNA from 1 species
GGUAGCGUGUCCGAGCGGCCGAAGGUGCUCGCCUCGAAAGCGAGUGUAGGGUAACCCCCUACCGCGGGUUCAAAUCCCGCCGCUACCG